AACGAACGCUGGCGGCAGGCCUAAAACAUGCAAGUCGAACGAACCGCAAGGUUAGUGGCGCACGGGUGAGUAACACGUGGGAAUGUGCCUCUGGGUACGGAACAACGUCGGGAAACUGACGCUAAUACCGUAUAAUGUCUACGGACCAAAGAUUUAUCGCCCAGAGAUCAGCCCGCGUCUGAUUAGCUAGUUGGUGAGGUAACGGCUCACCAAGGCGACGAUCAGUAGCUGGUCUGAGAGGAUGAUCAGCCACACUGGAACUGAGACACGGUCCAGACUCCUACGGGAGGCAGCAGUUAGGAAUAUUGGACAAUGGGGGAAACCCUGAUCCAGCCAUGCCGCGUGUGUGAAGAAGGCCUUAGGGUUGUAAAGCACUUUCGGCUGUGAAGAUAAUAACAGUAGCAGAAGAAGAAGCUCCGGCUAAAUUCGUGCCAGCAGCCGCGGUAA
rnacentral:rRNA from 1 species